rnacentral:rRNA from 1 species
CCAGACUCCUACGGGAGGCAGUGAGGAAUAUUGGUCAAUGGGCGGGAGCCUGAACCAGCCAAGUCGCGUGAGGGAUGACGGCCCUAUGGGUUGUACACCUCUUUUGUCAGGGAGCAAAGGGCGCCACGUGUGGCGUUUUGCGAGUACCUGAAGAAAAAGCAUCGGCUAACUCCGUGCCAGCAGCCGCGGUAAUACGGAGGAUGCGAGCGUUAUCCGGAUUUAUUGGGUUUAAAGGGUGCGCAGGCGGAAUGUCAAGUCAGCGGUAAAAUUUCGGGGCUCAACCCCGUCGUGCCGUUGAAACUGGCGUUCUUGAGUGAGCGAGAAGUAUGCGGAAUGCGCGGUGUAGCGGUGAAAUGCAUAGAUAUCGCGCAGAACUCCGAUUGCGAAGGCAGCAUGCCGGCUCCACACUGACGCUGAGGCACGAAAGCGUGGGUAUCGAACAGGAUUAGAUACCCCAGUA